UACGAGAGGCCCAAACGUUAUUCGGAUUUACUGGGCUUAAAGAGUUCGUAGGCGGCGCGGAAAGUGGGGUGUGAAAGCCCUCGGCCUAACCGAGGAAUUGCGCUCCAAACUACCGUGCUUGAGGAAGCUAGAGGUGAGCGGAACUGAUGGUGGAGCGGUGAAAUGCGUUGAUAUCAUCAGGAACACCGGAGGCGAAGGCGGCUCACUGGGGCUUUUCUGACGCUGAGGAACGAAAGCCAGGGGAGCGAACGGG
rnacentral:rRNA from 1 species